GAUGAAGAACGCAGCGAAAUGCGAUAAGUAAUGUGAAUUGCAGAAUUCAGUGAAUCAUCGAAUCUUUGAACGCACAUUGCGCCCCCUGGUAUUCCGGGGGGCAUGCCUGUCCGAGCGUCAUUACAACCCUCAAGCUCAGCUUGGUGUUGGGCCCCGCCGCCCCGGCGGGCCCUAAAGUCAGUGGCGGUGCCGUCCGGCUCCGAGCGUAGUAAUUCUUCUCGCUCUGGAGGUCCGGUCGUGCGCUCGCCAGCAACCCCCAAUUUUUUCAGGUUGACCUCGGAUCAGGUAGGGAUACCCGCUGAACUUAAGCAUAUCAAUAAGCGGAGGA
rnacentral:misc_RNA from 1 species